AACGAACGCUGGCGGCAGGCUUAACACAUGCAAGUCGAACGAGAUCUUCGGAUCUAGUGGCAGACGGGUGAGGAACACGUGGGAACAUCCCUUUCAGUUCGGAAUAACGUUGGGAAACUAACGCUAAUACCGGAUACGUCCUUCGGGAGAAAGAUUUAUCGCUACAGGAAGGGCCCGCGUCGGAUUAGCUAGUUGGUGAGGUAAUGGCUCACCAAGGCGACGAUCCGUAGCUGGUUUGAGAGAACGACCAGCCACACUGGGACUGAGACACGGCCCAGACUCCUACGGGAGGCAGCAGUGGGGAAUAUUGGACAAUGGGCGCAAGCCUGAUCCAGCCAUGCCGCGUGAGUGAUGAAGGCCUUAGGGUUGUAAAGCUCUUUUGGCGGGGACGAUAAUGACGGUGCCCGCAGAAUAAGUCCCGGCUAACUUCGUGCCAGCAGCCGCGGUAACAC
rnacentral:rRNA from 1 species